rnacentral:rRNA from 1 species
UACGUAGGGCGCGAGCGUUGUCCGGAAUUAUUGGGCGUAAAGAGCUCGUAGGCGGCUUGUCGCGUCGGAUGUGAAAGCCCGGGGCUUAACUCCGGGUCUGCAUUCGAUACGGGCAGGCUAGAGUUCGGUAGGGGAGAUCGGAAUUCCUGGUGUAGCGGUGAAAUGCGCAGAUAUCAGGAGGAACACCGGUGGCGAAGGCGGAUCUCUGGGCCGAUACUGACGCUGAGGAGCGAAAGCGUGGGGAGCAAACAGG